UACGGAGGGAGCUAGCGUUAUUCGGAAUUACUGGGCGUAAAGCGCACGUAGGCGGCUUUGUAAGUAAGAGGUGAAAGCCUGGAGCUCAACUCCAGAAUUGCCUUUUAGACUGCAUCGCUUGAAUCAUGGAGAGGUGAGUGGAAUUCCGAGUGUAGAGGUGAAAUUCGUAGAUAUUCGGAGGAACACCAGUGGCGAAGGCGGCUCACUGGUCCAUUACUGACGCUGAGGUGCGAAAGCGUGGGGAGCAAACAGG
rnacentral:rRNA from 1 species